UUAAGCGACUAAGCGUACACGGUGGAUGCCCUGGCAGUCAGAGGCGAUGAAGGACGUGCUAAUCUGCGAAAAGCGUCGGUAAGGUGAUAUGAACCGUUAUAGCCGGCGAUGUCCGAAUGGGGAAACCCAGUGUGAUUCGUCACACUAUCGUUAACUGAAUACAUAGGUUAACGAGGCGAACCGGGGGAACUGAAACAUCUAAGUACCCCGAGGAAAAGAAAUCAACCGAGAUUCCCCCAGUAGCGGCGAGCGAACGGGGAGCAGCCCAGAGUCUGAAUCAGCUUGUGUGUUAGUGGAACGGUCUGGAAAGUCCGACGGUACAGGGUGAUAGUCCCGUACACCAAAAUGCACAGGCUGUGAACUCGAAGAGUAGGGCGGGACACGUGGUAUCCUGUCUGAAUAUGGGGGGACCAUCCUCCAAGGCUAAAUACUCCUGACUGACCGAUAGUGAACCAGUACCGUGAGGGAAAGGCGAAAAGAACCCCGGCGAGGGGAGUGAAAAAGAACCUGAAACCGUGUACGUACAAGCAGUGGGAGCACCUUCGGGUGUGACUGCGUACCUUUUGUAUAAUGGGUCAGCGACUUAUAUUCUGUAGCAAGGUUAACCGUAUAGGGGAGCCGCAGGGAAACCGAGUCUUAACUGGGCGUUAAGUUGCAGGGUAUAGACCCGAAACCCGGUGAUCUAGCCAUGGGCAGGUUGAAGGUUGGGUAACACUAACUGGAGGACCGAACCGACUAAUGUUGAAAAAUUAGCGGAUGACUUGUGGCUGGGGGUGAAAGGCCAAUCAAACCGGGAGAUAGCUGGUUCUCCCCGAAAGCUAUUUAGGUAGCGCCUCGUGAAUUCAUCUUCGGGGGUAGAGCACUGUUUCGGCUAGGGGGUCAUCCCGACUUACCAACCCGAUGCAAACUACGAAUACCGAAGAAUGUUAUCACGGGAGACACACGGCGGGUGCUAACGUCCGUCGUGAAGAGGGAAACAACCCAGACCGCCAGCUAAGGUCCCAAAGUCAUGGUUAAGUGGGAAACGAUGUGGGAAGGCACAGACAGCCAGGAUGUUGGCUUAGAAGCAGCCAUCAUUUAAAGAAAGCGUAAUAGCUCACUGGUCGAGUCGGCCUGCGCGGAAGAUGUAACGGGGCUAAACCAUGCACCGAAGCUGCGGCAGCGACACUAUGUGUUGUUGGGUAGGGGAGCGUUCUGUAAGCCUGCGAAGGUGUGCUGUGAGGGUUGCUGGAGGUAUCAGAAGUGCGAAUGCUGACAUAAGUAACGAUAAAGCGGGUGAAAAGCCCGCUCGCCGGAAGACCAAGGGUUCCUGUCCAACGUUAAUCGGGGCAGGGUGAGUCGACCCCUAAGGCGAGGCCGAAAGGCGUAGUCGAUGGGAAACAGGUUAAUAUUCCUGUACUUGGUGUUACUGCGAAGGGGGGACGGAGAAGGCUAUGUUAGCCGGGCGACGGUUGUCCCGGUUUAAGCAUGUAGGCUGGUUGUCCAGGCAAAUCCGGAUAAUCAAGGCUGAGGUGUGAUGACGAGGCACUACGGUGCUGAAGUAACAAAUGCCCUGCUUCCAGGAAAAGCCUCUAAGCAUCAGGUAACAUUAAAUCGUACCCCAAACCGACACAGGUGGUCAGGUAGAGAAUACCAAGGCGCUUGAGAGAACUCGGGUGAAGGAACUAGGCAAAAUGGUGCCGUAACUUCGGGAGAAGGCACGCUGGUGUGUAGGUGAAGCCCCUGCGGGUGGAGCUGAGACCAGUCGAAGAUACCAGCUGGCUGCAACUGUUUAUUAAAAACACAGCACUGUGCAAACACGAAAGUGGACGUAUACGGUGUGACGCCUGCCCGGUGCCGGAAGGUUAAUUGAUGGGGUUAUCCGUAAGGAGAAGCUCUUGAUCGAAGCCCCGGUAAACGGCGGCCGUAACUAUAACGGUCCUAAGGUAGCGAAAUUCCUUGUCGGGUAAGUUCCGACCUGCACGAAUGGCGUAAUGAUGGCCAGGCUGUCUCCACCCGAGACUCAGUGAAAUUGAACUCGCUGUGAAGAUGCAGUGUACCCGCGGCAAGACGGAAAGACCCCGUGAACCUUUACUAUAGCUUGACACUGAACAUUGAGCCUUGAUGUGUAGGAUAGGUGGGAGGCUUUGAAGCGUGGACGCCAGUCUGCGUGGAGCCAACCUUGAAAUACCACCCUUUAAUGUUUGAUGUUCUAACGUUGGCCCCUUACCGGGGUUGCGGACAGUGUCUGGUGGGUAGUUUGACUGGGGCGGUCUCCUCCCAAAGCGUAACGGAGGAGCACGAAGGUUAGCUAAUCCUGGUCGGACAUCAGGAGGUUAGUGCAAUGGCAUAAGCUAGCUUGACUGCGAGCGUGACGGCGCGAGCAGGUGCGAAAGCAGGUCAUAGUGAUCCGGUGGUUCUGAAUGGAAGGGCCAUCGCUCAACGGAUAAAAGGUACUCCGGGGAUAACAGGCUGAUACCGCCCAAGAGUUCAUAUCGACGGCGGUGUUUGGCACCUCGAUGUCGGCUCAUCACAUCCUGGGGCUGAAGUAGGUCCCAAGGGUAUGGCUGUUCGCCAUUUAAAGUGGUACGCGAGCUGGGUUUAGAACGUCGUGAGACAGUUCGGUCCCUAUCUGCCGUGGGCGCUGGAGAAUUGAGGGGGGCUGCUCCUAGUACGAGAGGACCGGAGUGGACGCAUCACUGGUGUUCGGGUUGUCAUGCCAAUGGCACUGCCCGGUAGCUAAAUGCGGAAGAGAUAAGUGCUGAAAGCAUCUAAGCACGAAACUUGCCCCGAGAUGAGUUCUCCCUGAGACUUUAAGUCUCCUGAAGGAACGUUGAAGACGAUGACGUUGAUAGGCCGGGUGUGUAAGCGCAGCGAUGCGUUGAGCUAACCGGUACUAAUGAACCGUGAGGCUUAACCUU
rnacentral:rRNA from 1 species